rnacentral:rRNA from 1 species
AUUGAACGCUGGCGGCAGGCCUAACACAUGCAAGUCGAGCGAGCGGCGGACGGGUGAGUAAUGUAUGGGGACUGCCCGAUAGAGGGGGAUAACUACUGGAAACGGUGGCUAAUACCGCAUACUAUCGGAUAACCCAUAUGGGAUUAGCGAGUAGGGGGGUGAAAGGCUCACCUAGGCGACGAUCUCUAACUGGUCUGAGAGGAUGAUCAGCCACAUGGGGACGGAUACACGGCCCAGACUCCUACGGAGGCAGCAGUGGGUAAUAGUCCACAAUGGGCGCAAGCCUGAUGCAGCCAUGCCGCGUGUAUGAAGAAGGCCUUAGGGUUGUAAAGUACGUUCAGCGGGGAUGCGUUACCCGCAGAAGAAGCACCGGCUAACUCCGUGCCAGCAGCCGCGGUAAUAC